rnacentral:rRNA from 1 species
GAUGAACGCUGGCGGCGUGCCUAAUACAUGCAAGUCGAGCGAACAGACGAGGAGCUUGCUCCUCUGACGUUAGCGGCGGACGGGUGAGUAACACGUGGAUAACCUACCUAUAAGACUGGGAUAACUUCGGGAAACCGGAGCUAAUACCGGAUAAUAUAUUGAACCGCAUGGUUCAAUAGUGAAAGACGGUUUUGCUGUCACUUAUAGAUGGAUCCGCGCCGCAUUAGCUAGUUGGUAAGGUAACGGCUUACCAAGGCAACGAUGCGUAGCCGACCUGAGAGGGUGGUCGGCCACACUGGAACUGAGACACGGUCCAGACUCCUACGGGGGGCAGCAGUAGGGACUCUUCCGCAAUGGGCGAAAGCCUGACGGAGCAACGCCGCGUGAGUGAUGAAGGUCUUCGGAUCGUAAAACUCUGUUAUUAGGGAAGAACAAAUGUGUAAGUAACUAUGCACGUCUUGACGGUACCUAAUCAGAAAGCCACGGCUAACUACGUG